rnacentral:rRNA from 1 species
AUUGAACGCUGGCGGCAUGCCUUACACAUGCAAGUCGAACGGUAACAGGUCUUCGGAUGCUGACGAGUGGCGAACGGGUGAGUAAUGCAUCGGAACGUGCCCAGUUGUGGGGGAUAACUGCUCGAAAGAGCAGCUAAUACCGCAUACGACCUGAGGGUGAAAGCGGGGGAUCGCAAGACCUCGCGCAAUUGGAGCGGCCGAUGUCAGAUUAGGUAGUUGGUGGGGUACAGGCCUACCAAGCCGACGAUCUGUAGUUGGUCUGAGAGGACGACCAGCCACACUGGGACUGAGACACGGCCCAGACUCGUACGGGAGGCAGCAGUGGGGAAUUUUGGACAUUGGGCGCAAGCCUGAUCCAGCAAUGCCGCGUGCAGGAAGAAGGCCUUCGGGUUGUAAACUGCUUUUGCCAGGGAAGAAAUCCUCUGGGUUAAUACCCCGGGGGGAUGACGGUACCUGAAGAGUAAGCACCGGCUAACUACGUGCCAGCAGCCGCAGUAA